rnacentral:lncRNA from 1 species
UACCUAAUCAAAUAUAAUCUACAAGAACUAAAGCUGGACUAUUUUUUUCUAACAAGGAAUUUACUCAUACUAGCCCCACAAUCCCUUUCAACAAAGAAAGCUAAUCACGACAUGAUAAGCGUCACACAAAUACAACAACGCAUCGAACAGUUGUAUAAAGGUCUAGAUCGUGUGGAUACACAGUUUCAUAACCUCAUAACUGGCUAACAUAGGUUACACAAUGGAAAAGGAAACACUAAAAUAAAGGAUCACAAUACAUCACAGGGAGCACAAAAGCACGUCCAACACAUAAUACUAACAACAACCACACAUCAUAGCAAUCACAUAACACACAGGCUUGAUGGACAACCAACAAGUAGUUAAUUAAGCAUUGACAAUGUUCACACACAUGUCGCUUAACAGGGAUUAACAAAAUUAUAAUUUGGUCUGACUAGACCGACCUGCUCUGAUUGACACAUAACCCACACAGUCCGAAGACAACGGGGCUCUGAUACCACUUUGUAACACCCAAACCCAAUAUUUAAAUAAAUCCAACUAUAGAAAAUUCUUUUUCAAAAUACACAGCGGAUAAUAAAAUUAAAACGACUCGAAGUCGAAGUUAAAAUAUAAAAUAGUGGUUUAAGGUAUUACAUACUUCAAGAACAUUGCUAAUUAGCAUAAACCUCGCUUAAUAAAAAUUAUUUUCUAAACUAAUAGAUUUACAAUAAAAUAAGAAUACAAGUACAAGACUCGAUAAACCCUUCCCCGUGUCAUAAUCAGAGCGAGCUUCACCAACAACAUCAAACACCGACAAACAUACACAACCUGAGAAUCUGAACCCCCAACGGUUCAGCACAAACACAAAACAGAGGGUUAGAUAAUAUAACCAUAAAUAGUGACUAAUAUAAGGUAUAUCAGACACCUAAAUAAAGUAAAACAAAUGAAUAAAUUCAUCUCAUACAAUUAUUCAACAUGAUAAGCAUAUACCAAUAUGUAUCAGACAACUCGAACACAUAACAAAUAUGUUCAGACAAGUAUCGGAUAUAAAGGUAAACAUAACAAUGUCAAUUACCAUUCAUCAAGUAAGAAUGUCACAUAAUUCUUAAUGCAAUUCUAAUGUGAAAUAGAUGUAAUGUCCCCUAGACAUAUCUAUAUGCAUGUGGUACCCAUCAUCAUAAUUUUGGAAAACUUAUUCCAAAUGUUUUAGAUCAUCGUCUCUAAAACAACAGUAAACUAGAUCAUCGUCUCUAGAAUACUCAUCAAUAGACACAACUUAUGAGUGCAUGAAUGUGCAUAUACCAAACAUAUGGUUUUAUCUCAACUAUAACAUCAACAUAAUAUGGAUAACAUAAUCCAAAUAUUCUAAAUCUUCGUCUUUAGAAUACAUCUACUCAUGAUAAAUCAUCAUUUACCAUCAUCAAUAAUUCAACAUCAUAAAUCAUCACAUAAUCACACUAAUAUUCAAUAAGAUUUAUUCAUCAAUAAUUCAUCAAAAUAAUCAUAAUACAUCAUCAUGAUUAUCAUCAUCUAUAAACAACCUAAUCAUCAUCAUUAAUCAACGACAUAGUCAUUUACAAGACACUAAAGUCACACACCAUUCAAUGGUUCAUCAAUUCUAAUUAAUUAAGUAUACGAAAGUUAAUUUAAACUAAAAUAAUGCCAAAAAUAUAGGCAACAUCAUCAUCCAAACAUAAUCUCAGAAAACGGACUUCAUAAUCGGAAUCUACGCGAAAAACGGAGCAAAAUAGGUUCCGACCAAAAAAGUAGACCAAAAGUCAACGGUCAUGAGUCAACAAGUAGCGUCGGCCAUAGCGUCAGCCAGAGUGCGUCGCAAAACACCAUUCAUGAUGCAGAAAAACGAAUUGGCUGCGGGAGCUUAUUUCAAAAGUGCUUAUUUGCUCAAAAACAACUUAUUUCGCACAGAAAAUUUAUACCAAACAUGGGACAAGUUUAUAUAAGUUGAAAAGCACUUAAAAACUGAUUAUCAACCUCAAAAUCACUUAAAUUCAUCAAAUUGAUACUUUUUUGUCAAAACCCAUGAAACUCAUAAAAAUCAACAACAACAUCAAGUAAUCAACAACAUACAAAGUACUAAUUUUUAUCAUAGCUUCUCAUUUCUAAAUCAUGAACAAAUAUGCAUAAUCACUUAUUAUAACAUAAAGAUUCAAAAUCAACACAUUCCCAAAAUCCCAUAACAUACCCCAAAAAUGAAAAAGAGAUGAGAAGAGUUUGAGCUAAAGAAGAAUACUUCUCUCCUCUCCAUUAAUUCAUCUCAAAGAUUAUAAAACUACCCUCAUACCUUGUCUAAGAUGGAAACUUUACUCCUCCUCUUUGAAUUCUCUAAAUCUCACUUGGCUUGUUCUUUCUUUGAUUUUUUUUUUCUUCUUCUUCCACCAAGAGCUUCGAUUUCUCUCUCUCUAUUCUUUCUCCAAAAUAUAACAAAUGGUUUUUAUCUUAAUACAUAGAGUUUCUUAAUGCAUAGGGUUUUCUAUUGUUUUCCAAUUAGCACCCCCCAU